UUUUAACAAUAAGUAGUUGUAGAUUCCUAAAUGGUGGCCUAAAGCAGGUUGAGAAAGGGAUGCAUAGUUAGAAGUAGAAUAAUAGUUUACUGAUGACCUUCAUUAAGUCUUUACUCUUUUCUCAGCAAAGCUAGAGGAAACCAAAGUCAUAGAACAUCUGAACUCUGUCCAAACAUCGGUCGUAUUUCAAAAUUUCAGCCCACCAAUAUGCUACAGUGCCCUGAUGCCUACGUCUACUGCUGAGUAAAUACUCAGCUUUGCUCAUGUAACUGGACCAGCAUAUUUGUCUGGAGCUGAUGCUGCCCUCUGGCUGCCAAUGUGAAUUAAAUCCUUACAGAAAUAACUAAGCUUCAUCACAAACAAGCAAGUUCAGUUUUGGAACUGAAUCUUUGAUAAGGUUCUCUGAGAAGCCCUCAUUCUGGAUCAUGAAGUCAAUACUCACUUCAUACUCUCUUAACAGUAUAGCACUUCUAAAGGGCAACAUCUCAGCUCCCUCUGUUUCUAGCACUCAAUAUUGCCAAUGAAAGGAAAUUUUUUAAAAAACCAUGUUCUGUAAGAAUAAAAAUAAACAAACUUCAUAGAAAAUCACAAUGAGACAAAUUCUUUUACCAGUGUCUCUGGCUUUCACAUGUUUUUGCAUAAUGAAAGGGCUAAUAUAACAUAACAAAUCCUAAACUGUUUUCACAAGGAGUGGAAAAAAGAUGUGUAAAAGUAUGCUCUGUCUUGCUUCCUUCUGUUCACAAUGUAUCUAAAUAAAACAAAUGGUGUUCUUGCUCUUUCUGUCUGUUUCCCAAUCUGUUUGGAUAGUAGCCACCAUCCCGCAGCCAACGAUAAUAUCUGACACUUCCUGACAUCAUGAAAGCCACCAUCUGUCUAUCACCAAAACCCUGUACUUUUUAAAGACUACUUGGCUUGAUCCUUAAUGAAGCUUCAAGUUGAAUGCACAGAUCGCUUUAGAAGGAAUACAAGGAAUAAUUGACACAAGGUAUCUGUAUAAAAUCACGUUCUCAUUAGAUUCCAUUUGAAAACAUAAAAUGAAAUAUUAAGGCCCCUUUCAGGCAGAAAAAGCAUGGUUUACUUUCAAUUGUGUUUCAUUUCCGAUUUGCCUGUGAAAGUUUAGACAGUGUUGAACACCAGGAAUAAACCUAAACUAAAGCCUAAGCUUUAAAUUCAAUAUUUUCCAGUCUUGUAAAAUUAAACAGUUAGACAUGACUUUGCAGUUUGUAUACUUGAGCUAUGAAAAAAGAAGAAAAUCCAUCAAUUAUUUUUCCAAGGCUUGAGAAAAUCAUGCCAUUUAAAACUGAAUCAACUUCUUUAACACCUGAACGAUUAUCCAGGAAACAAAAGAAGGUUCUGUAUGUCUUCACUUGUAAAUGUCACAGGUGAACACAAACAACCCUGUGCUGGCAAUGUCAAGUCACUCUUUGUUUUAUUAAACUGUUGUACCUCUAUGUG
rnacentral:lncRNA from 1 species